UUUAUUUUGAAAUUGACCGUAAUUUUCCGUGUCCUUUCCCUCGACAAGCGCUUGUCACCGUUACUCGAAAGAACGUUUUUGAUUUUCUCGUCCGGCCUUGUUUGUUUUUCUCAUUCGACUCGUCCAGAUCGAUUGUUCGUUUUUUUAUACCUUCUAUUUUGUAAUCGUUGUUUGCUUUCUACCGUUGUUCUUUUCUUCUUUUUCGUUUUUCUGCUACUCCCGCUGCAGCUGCUGCUACCUGUACCGACAAACCGCACAUCCCCGGCCGCUGCUCUCGCCCAGGGGAUCAGCUGUUGCCAGAUCAUUUUUAGCAGAGCAGCAAAGAGCCGAUAGUGAAAGUUUUCUUCGUACAACG
rnacentral:misc_RNA from 1 species